UUUCGCAAUGCCCGAAAGGGUGACGAAGCGACGCCGCGUGAGUGAGGAAGGCCUUCGGGUUGUAAAGCUCUGUCAGGAGUUAAGAAAUAUAAGUGUGUUAAUACCACAUUUAUUUGACGAAGGCUCCAAAGGAAGCCACGGCUAACUCUGUGCCGGCAGCCGCGGUAAUACAGAGGUGGCAAGCGUUGUUCGGAAUUAUUGGGCGUAAAGAGCACGUAGGUGGGUUUGUAAGUCAGAUGUGAAAGCCUUCUGUUCAACGGAAGAAUUGCAUCUGAAACUGCGAGUCUUGAGUGUAGGAGGGGAGAAUGGAACUUCUGGUGGAGCGGUGAAAUGCGUAGAUAUCAGAAGGAACGCCGGCGGCGAAAGCGAUUCUCUGGCCUGUUACUGACACUCAGUGUGCGAAAGCUAGGGGAGCAAACGGGAUUAGAUACCCCGGUAGUCCUAGCUGUAAACGAUGGGCACUAAGUAGAGGGGUUUUA
rnacentral:rRNA from 1 species